rnacentral:rRNA from 1 species
ACACAUGCAAGUCGAACGAACCUUCGGGUUAGUGGCGGACGGGUGAGUAACGCGUGGGAAUCUGCCCUCAGGAGGGGGAUAACGGCUGGAAACGGCCGCUAAUACCCCAUAUGCCGAGAGGUGAAAUGAAUUUCGCCUGAGGAUGAGCCCGCGUCUGAUUAGCUAGUUGGUGAGGUAAGAGCUCACCAAGGCAUCGAUCAGUAGCUGGUCUGAGAGGAUGAUCAGCCACACUGGGACUGAGACACGGCCCAGACUCCUACGGGAGGCAGCAGUGGGGAAUUUUCCGCAAUGGGCGAAAGCCUGACGGAGCAACGCCGCGUGAGGGAUGAAGGCCUCUGGGCUGUAAACCUCUUUUCUCAAGGAAGAAGAUCUGACGGUACUUGAGGAAUAAGCCACGGCUAAUUCCGUGCCAGCAGCCGCGGUAAUACGGGAGUGGCAAGCGUUAUCCGGAAUUAUUGGGCGUAAAGCGUCCGCAGGCGGCCUUUCAAGUCUGCUGUUAAAACGUGGAGCUUAACUCCAUCAUGGCAGUGGAAACUGUUGGGCUUGAGUGUGGUAGGGGCAGAGGGAAUUCCCGGUGUAGCGGUGAAAUGCGUAGAUAUCGGGAAGAACACCAGUGGCGAAGGCGCUCUGCUGGGCCAUAACUGACGCUCAUGGACGAAAGCCAGGGGAGCGAAAGGGAUUAGAUACCCCUGUAGUCCUGGCCGUAAACGAUGAACACUAGGUGUCGGGGGAAUCGACCCCCUCGGUGUCGUAGCCAACGCGUUAAGUGUCCCGCCUGGGGAGUACGCACGCAAGUGUGAAACUCAAAGGAAUUGACGGGGGCCCGCACAAGCGGUGGAGUAUGUGGUUUAAUUCGAUGCCACGCGAAGAACUUUACCAGGGUUUGACAUCCUGCGAAUCUCUUGGAAACGAGAGAGUGCCUCGGAA